GAUGAACGCUAGCUACAGGCUUAACACAUGCAAGUCGAGGGGAAACGAUAGAGAAAGCUUGCUUUUUCUAGGCGUCGACCGGCGCACGGGUGAGUAACGCGUAUCCAACCUGCCCACCACUUGGGGGUAACCUUGCGAAAGUAAGACUAAUACCCAAUGAUAUCUCAAGAAGACAUCUGAAUGAGAUUAAAGAUUUAUCGGUGAUGGAUGGGGAUGCGUCUGAUUAGCUUGUUGGCGGGGUAACGGCCCACCAAGGCGACGAUCAGUAGGGGUUCGGGGAGGAAGGUCCCCCACAUUGGAACUGAGACACGGUCCAAACUCCUACGGGAGGCAGCAGUGAGGAAUAUUGGUCAAUGGGCGAGAGCCUGAACCAGCCAAGUAGCGUGCAGGAUGACGGCCCUAUGGGUUGUAAACUGCUUUUAUAAGGGAAUAAAGUGAGUCUCGUGAGGCUUUUUGCAUGUACCUUAUGAAUAAGGACCGGCUAAUUCCGUGCCAGCCGCCGCAGUAA
rnacentral:rRNA from 1 species